rnacentral:rRNA from 1 species
AUACAAUCUCGGGGAGAAAACUUCCAAUCCAGCGAAACACCAUCGCAUGCAGGUACUUUUGCCAGAACAUGAGCCGCCCGAUUAGCCGUUCUCCUGCGCCAAGUGAUCUUGCACCCGGUCCAGCCCUGCAUAAGUUCUUUGAUAUCUUCCACGAUAGGUCCCGCCACCGACAAAUUCCGGGGUGCAGAGUUGAUCAUGCUAACAGCUUCCUUACAGUCCAUCUCCACACGAAUCCUUUGGAUGCCAAGUUCCCGGCCAAAUUCCAAAGCUUUUCUGCAAGCCAACAAUUCUACGAUCUCCGGCUUUGUCUUGUUAGGGAAGAGCUGGGUGAGGGUACCCCGGAAAGCACCAGUGUGAUCCCGGACAAUCACCCCGCCGCCGCCGUUCCCUGUGGCAGAAGAGAUCGCGCCAUCCACAUUCACCUUGAUCCAGUCAGUCUCGGGUGGGUUCCAUCUUUCAGGGGGUGGUGUCCGCUCGGAUGACGCGGGAAGACCGGGAGGCGAGGGAGCGCCUCGAGGCCGAGGCCUACAUGGACGCCCUCCUCCGGUAGUACCCGGAGUAAGUGGAGGCGGGGCGGGUGAUCUUCACCGUCAAUGACGGCGAAGUUAUCGUCAUCUCCGACGAGGAGGGUGGCAACGCGAGCGGCGAGGUGAGCGGCAACGACAUCGAUGUUGAGGAGUGGCAGAGCGUCUUCCCCAAUGACGACGACAGCGAUGAAACCGGCGCGGACCCGUCUCUCAUCGAGGGUGGCUUCACCCGGAAGGAUUGGCUCAACC